rnacentral:ribozyme from 1 species
UGCUCAGCAACUCCUAUCCCAACCUUCUCGCGGUACCGGCCAGAAUCAAUGAGCAACCUUAGGGAAGAUCGGGUAACCAACCCCGGUGGGAACUUUGGUCGUAGGCUGACAGGGAAGA